rnacentral:rRNA from 1 species
AUAAAAAACCAAUGCCCUUCGGGGCUCCUUGGUGAUUCAUAAUAACUUAACGAAUCGCAUAGCCUUGUGCUGGCGAUGGUUCAUUCAAAUUUCUGCCCUAUCAACUUUCGAUUGUAUGGUAUUGGCUUACAAUGGUUUCAACGGGUAACGGGGAAUUAGGGUUCUAUUCCGGAGAGGGAGCCUGAGAAACGGCUACCACAUCCAAGGAAGGCAGCAGGCGCGCAAAUUACCCAAUCCCGACACGGGGAGGUAGUGACAAUAAAUACUGAUACAGGGCUCUUUUGGGUCUUGUAAUUGGAAUGAGUACAAUUUAAAUCCCUUAACGAGGAACAAUUGGAGGGCAAGUCUGGUGCCAGCAGCCGCGGUAAUUCCAGCUCCAAUAGCGUAUAUUAAAGUUGUUGCAGUUAAAAAGCUCGUAGUUGAACCUUGGGUUUGGUUGGUCGGUCCGCCUCACCGCGUGCACUGAUCCGACCGAAUCUUUCCUUCUGGGGAACCGUAUGCCCUUCACUGGGUGUGCU